GACGAACGCUGGCGGCGUGCCUAAUACAUGCAAGUUGAGCGCUGAAGGUUGGUACUUGUACCAACUGGAUGAGCAGCGAACGGGUGAGUAACGCGUGGGGAAUCUGCCUUUGAGCGGGGGACAACAUUUGGAAACGAAUGCUAAUACCGCAUAAAAACUUUAAACACAAGUUUUAAGUUUGAAAGAUGCAAUUGCAUCACUCAAAGAUGAUCCCGCGUUGUAUUAGCUAGUUGGUGAGGUAAAGGCUCACCAAGGCGAUGAUACAUAGCCGACCUGAGAGGGUGAUCGGCCAAAUUGGGACUGAGACACGGCCCAAACUCCUACGGGAGGCAGCAGUAGGGAAUCUUCGGCAAUAGACGAAAGUCUGACCGAGCAACGCCGCGUGAGUGAAGAAGGUUUUCGGAUCGUAAAACUCUGUUGGUAGAGAAGAACGUUGGUGAGAGUGGAAAGCUCAUCAAGUGACGGUAACUACCCAGAAAGGGACGGCUAACUACGUG
rnacentral:rRNA from 1 species